rnacentral:rRNA from 1 species
UACGGAGGGUGCAAGCGUUAUCCGGAAUCACUGGGCGUAAAGGGCGCGUAGGCGGCCUGUUAAGUCCGAUGUUAAAGACUGGGGCUCAACCCCAGCAUUGCGUUGGAUACUGGCAGGCUUGACGGUUGGAGAGGCGAGUGGAAUUACCAGUGUAGCGGUGAAAUGCGUAGAUACUGGUAGGAACACCCAUUGCGAAGGCAGCUCGCUGGACAACACGUGACGCUGAGGCGCGAAAGUGUGGGGAGCAAACCGGAUUAGAUACCCGGGUAGU